rnacentral:rRNA from 1 species
CUGCAACUCGACUGCGUGAAGGUGGAGUCGCUAGUAAUCGCGGAUCAGCAACGCCGCGGUGAAUGCGUUCCCGGGCCUUGUACACACCGCCCGUCAAGUCAUGAAAGUGGGCAGCACCCGAAGACGGUGGCCUAACCCUUGUGGGGGGAGCCGUCUAAGGUGAGGCUCGUGAUUGGGACUAAGUCGUAACAAGGUAUC